rnacentral:lncRNA from 1 species
GGUUAUAGUCUGUUAACACCUCGUGUUUGACCCCGGUGUCGGUCUCGGGUUCGGGGUGUUACAUUUGAUUGGUAUCAGAGCUAUGGUUUAGUCGGUUCUAGGACUACCAUAGCGCGUAUGAGUCUAGCUAUACAUGCCUUAAUGUUAAUGUUUAAAUGUGUGAUGACUUCUGACGGUUGAAAUGUUUUUGUUUUGAUUAGUAAAUGGAUCCCGGUGUAGAAAGAACCCUAGCGGAUGACGUUGAGAGCGUAGC